UAGGGAAUCUUCCACAAUGGACGCAAGUCUGAUGGAGCAACGCCGCGUGAGUGAAGAAGGCUUUCGGGUCGUAAAACUCUGUUAUUGAAGAAGAACGUGUGUGACAGUAACUGGUCAUGCAGUGACGGUAUUCAAUCAGAAAGUCACGGCUAACUACGUGCCAGCAGCCGCGGUAAUACGUAGGUGGCAAGCGUUGUCCGGAUUUAUUGGGCGUAAAGCGAGUGCAGGCGGUCUUUUAAGUCUGAUGUGAAAGCCUUCGGCUUAACCGAAGAAGGGCAUCGGAAACUGGGAGACUUGAGUGCAGAAGAGGAGAGUGGAACUCCAUGUGUAGCGGUGAAAUGCGUAGAUAUAUGGAAGAACACCAGUGGCGAAGGCGGCUCUCUGGUCUGUAACUGACGCUGAGGCUCGAAAGCGUGGGUAGCA
rnacentral:rRNA from 1 species